rnacentral:tRNA from 1 species
GGCGCUAUGGCUGAGAGGUAAAGCGCUUGGUUUCCGAAUUAGGAAACCUGGGUUCAAAUCCUGGUGAAGACU